UUAGGAAUUUUGCGCAAUGGACGAAAGUCUGACGCAGCGACACCGCGUGAAGGAUGACGGCCUUAGGGUUGUAAACUUCUUUUCUCCCCGAAUGAAUCGGGGAGGAAUCAGCAACUACUAACUACGUGCCAGCAGUCGCGGUAAUACGUAGGUUGCAAGCGUUACCCGGUUUUAUUGGGCGUAAAGAGUCUGCAGGUGGCCCGAGAAGUCUUAUUUCAAAGACCCCGACUCAAUCGGGGAAAGGGGUAAGAUACUGCCGGGCUGGAGUGAUAUCGGGGUUACUGGAAUUUGUAGUGUAGGGGUAAAAUCCGUGGAUACUACAAAGAACACCAAGCGCGAAGGCGGGUAACUAGGUAUUUACUGACACUCAGAGACGAAAGCUAGGGUAGCCAAUCAGAUU
rnacentral:rRNA from 1 species